UUUUUUUUUUAAAUAAUACUAUCUAAAUUUCUAUUCUAUCAACGUAUUUAAAACUACGACCAUAGGCUCGCUCUGUAAGCGUGUAUUCGUUCUUAAAAUGUAUAAAUA